AUGGUGGGCCUCCAAAGUUGAUCCGUCUGCCAGCCAGUACCUGGAGGAGGCAGUACCAAGUACUCGGAUACAUUUCCCUAUAAGUCCAUAGGCUUAACACUAGCUAGAGACUUCUAGAGAUAUUUUGUAUGCCAGAUAAGGCCGUCGCAUACCAGAUAAGGCCGCAAUGGCCGUUCAACGUUACGUGGGGAAAUUGGAGAAAUCUAAAGACUUUUUUCUCUCUGACGUCUCCACUCCGCAACUGGCAAGCGUUGUUAGCAUUGGCUCGUGUCGUCGUAAAUAAGAUUUGUUUGACGGAUAUUCCGUUAGUUGAGUGUGUUGUUGUAAUUUCUGAGGCUGUAUGAGUUGGACGGAAUGGCGCCAUCCCGCCAAGUGCGAAAUCGGCGGUGUAGUGUGAAGGGUUGUGGAAAAACAAAGGCUGAUUGUCAUUUGUCCCGGUCUCAACUUCUUCCAUGUUCCGAAAACCGUGUCAAGAGACUUGGUUGGGUGGCUGUCCUAGAAGAUGGCUUGGCGGACAAGCAGGUUGACGAAGCACUUGUGUGUAGCUGCCACUUCAACCCUCAAGAUCUUUUGCUUGGAGAAAGGGCUAGAACGUCACCACAUGCCGUACCGUCAAUAGCAGUCGUGGAAGGUCGUCGUGUAGCGCGGCGCUCCGCCAGCUGCUGUGCUGGGGUUGGCGGCGCUCAGCAGCUACCAGCUGAUGCAGCGCGCCGUGCUCGCUCGCCGCGGCGCAGUGUUUAUAGCGCGUGCGCCGGGCGCUGACGGCAGUCGUCUGGCAGCGACAGCUCUGCCGGUGACGGCACACGCUGCUGCUGCAGAAACUGGACAAGGGCCUGCUUGGGCUCCUGGUCCUGGAUCGGUACGCCGGCUCAGUCACCUGAUGACGGCGGCGCAAAGCGUGACCUACCCGCCCUACAGCCGGCCCAGCAGGGUGAGUAGUGAACUGAGUACUGAGUAGCGCUCAGAGUUAGCUUGAAGUUGUUUAACAUGAUGCACUGUUCUUCAUGAGUCGUCCCCAUCGCUGCUUGUGACUUGCAAGUUCCCUCUUUUUCGGCAGUGCGUCCCAGCAGCGAUUUUCACCUCUGAGAAGUAUAGUUGCCGUACUAGUGAAAAAGUGUAUAUCUUUGAAAUAAACAUUCCGUUUCAUCUGCCCACUACCACUAACGCCCCUCUGCCCUCUCCUGCAGCGGACGGGGAGACCCACCUGACCGC